rnacentral:lncRNA from 1 species
UGCUUGGAUCUAGACUUGUGCUCACCACCAUAUUACUGACUCUUAGUACCACUCCAUGUGAGACACCGUCAAAUCUUACAUCAACCAUUGCAAACUCAUAUGGAAAACAAUAAAUUGUCGAAAAUUUGGUCAGUAACUAAACAAUUCCAAUUGUGGUACAUUAUGCAGGUGAAACAAAACUCAAAACAAUAUCUUUUUGAGUAAAAAAAAAAAAUUACUUCAUUCAUAUUUAUUUGUUCAUGUUCAUUAAAAUAAAUAAACAUAUAUAUUAUUUUUAUAUAUAAAAUAGUGAAACAUAAGUAUUAACACUUAUAUUAUAAACAAAUAAAAUAAACACACAAAUAACAAUUUUAUUAAUCUAUGCUAACAGAACAAUAAAUCAAGUUUUAAAUAAACUUUAAAUGAGCACAAAUAAAUUUAUUCAUGAACAUAAUAAAUUUAAUGUGUUCAAUUUGUUUAAUAAAUAAAUUUUAACAUCGAAAUUUGGUUAAAGUUUAAACUUGGCCCUUAUAUGUAUGGUAUGUUAUGUUUAGUACUUGGGCCUAGGGCUUAGGUCAUGAUCAUUUGAUCUUGUUUUAGGGGUUUAAGGUUUUUUUUUUUUUUCUCUUUUUGAUGUAGAAGAAGUUCAUCUCAUAGAUCAUACACAGUCAAAGAUAGUACGACAAUAGUAAUCAGUCAAAGAUACAAAGGUUCCAAAUAACCAGAAUUCCAAAUAUAAGUGGUCAAUCCCUCUAAAAGUAUAAAUAAAUGAGGAUCAUCAUUGGUUCUUUUGGCGUCAACCAUUAAUAUAAACAUUAGUGCGUAUGGUGUUGACUGUUUGGAUUUAGGCCUUUUUCAAGUUUAAAGAUAUUUAAAGGUAUAAAUAUAUAAUUAUUUAAAAUAUUGUAGGAUAAACUAUACAAAUAGUCACCUAAUUAUAAGAGUAUUUUUAUUUUGUACUUUUAAAUAUAAAAUUUUAAUUGAUUUUUUGGCCCCUAUGUUGUUGUUAAGUUACUAACGGAAGUCUGACAUUAUUAUUAUUUAUUAGCAUGAUAAUAAAUUCAAUCUCUUAAUAUUUAAGUAUUCUAUUAAUUUGUUCUUAAUUUUAAAAAAUAUAUAAAAAAUAGAUAAAAUUUCAGAGAAUCAAAUUGUGACUCAAUCUUUUCCUCUUUAUAGAAGACUGAAGCUGAUUCAAGGUUUCAAACAAAAUGAUGAAAAUGAAUGAAUUUUAUGUUUAUCUUCUUCACUGCUCAUCACGUUGCCCAAUUUAGGUCAAACAUGGACAUAUUCUUUUUUUCCCUAAGACCAGUCCAUUCUUUGCUUAAGCCUUUAUAAGUAAAUAAAAGUAACAUUAACCAAACCAAUGUUGUAACAACCGAUCCACAGUUUGAGGGAUUGAACUUUUAGUUUUUAAUUCAAUUAUUUUAAAAAAUAAAAUUAAUAUAUUAAUAAUAAUUAAAAAUAAAAAAUGAAAUAUUAAGAAAACUAUAUUUUGAAAAAUAAAAAUGAAUGAAAACAUAAUGAAAAAUCCAAAUUUUGUUAAAAACUGUAAUAAAAAAAAUUUUAGUUUCCCAAAUUUUAACCAGGUUUUCAGAUUUUUAGGUGUUUGCUUAAAAGUAAAUGAGUUGUAGAAAAUAUUUUCUGUAAUUUUUUUUUGCUUGUUUAAUAGAAUAUAGUUUGUUUAGUGAAAAAUGACUUAGGUUAACGGAAAGUAAGUUCAUUUUUUAAUUUUUGUUAAAAAUGUAAUUAAAAAGUGCAAAUCAAUUUUCAAAAAAACUUCUUUAUCAGUAAUUUUAUUUUAUAUAAAAAUUAACUUGAAUCAAGGCUAAUAUUAUUAUAUUGAUAAUAAAAAAUAUAAAAUAUUCUAAUGUUGAAUAUUAUUAAACAUACCAAUUUAAUUAUUUAUAUUCAAUAAUACAAUAAAUUAUUAAUAUAAUUUAUUAAAAUAAUAAAUUAUUUGAUAUUACAAUUUUAAUUUAACAAUAAUAAUUUUAAAUAAUAGUCUUAAUUUAUUAUUGAAAAUAUUUAUAUUAAUAUUUUGAUAAUAAAUACAUAAUAAAAUUUGAAAAUAUUUAUUAAUAAAUAUUUUAUAGUAUAAAAUAUAUAACCCCCCAUAGUCAACCCGAUUGCCGAGUCAAGGCAUUAGGAUGUCACAUUCGUUGUCGAAGCAACUAUUGAAAAUUUCAGAUCAAUGUAUCAUAUUCUUUAAUUAAUAUAUAUCAUUAACUUGUUUCAGUAAUAAUUGAAUUUACAAUAGAACUAAUUAUGAGUUAAAGGAGGUUAUUAAAACAUCCACAAUUGAUCAAAUGCCAAAUUGUAUAGUUCAUAAAAAAUGUUGAACUGUCGUCGCGAUGUUGGGGUUUUCACGUCAUGACAUGGCGAACUUGUUAUCGUGACGUUGUCUCUAUUUUCCUACAAGUUCCACGAUUUAUUUUUAUUUAUUUAUUUAUAUCAUUACCUGAACCGUAUUCAGAUGUCAUAACUACCCCUUCAUUUUACAUAUCAUCCACUUACAUCUAUUUCUAAUCUCCAAUCCUCAUAAAAGCAUGAUAUUCAAUAAAAGAUAACAAAGUUUAUAAAAUAAGCACAAAUAUUAAAGUUUUACAAAUAAAACCAUUGGAAGACUUGCACUUUCAAAGUAGUUUACCCUCUUUAUGUAUAUUUCAUAUUUAUUUCUAAAUUGUGCUAAUCAAUUUAAUUCUUCAUAAAAUUUUAACAAGAAUUCAAUAUCACAUCAAUUAACAAUUAUUCACUUAUUAUUUUAUCAAUUUGUUUAAACAUAUUCACAUGUAUUAAUCAUUCCAUCACUUACAACCAUUUCAAAACAUUUCAAAUUCACUUACUAUAUAUAUAUAUAUAUUCAUAUAUUUUUUCCUCCUCCUCUCCAUUCCACAUCCUUUAUGUAUAUAUUUAUUAAAACCUUUAGCUUUUAAUAUAUAACAUGCUUAUACGUAACAUUGUCUAUAAUUCCACUAUUUACUUAUAUGUUCAUAACAAAGCUGUCCACUUGAGUCAUAGUCAUUAAAUUGUUUAUAUCUUGAGCUACAGAAUUCGAAAUUAAGAUCCGCUUGAUUUUUUUAAAACUAGACUCAAAUAUCUUUUUACCAUAAAAAUUUCAGAAUUUAUAAUUCAGCCAAUCAGCACAGUAAAUUAUUCAAAUUUCUCUCUGUUCUGUUGCUUGACAGCUUUGACAUUUCUUUACUAAAAAUUAAUUAUCUCUUAGUACGUGGUUUGAAUGAUUUUUUUUUCGUUUGUUUUUAGCGAAAAUAGACUCAUUAAUAAUUUAAACAUAUAAAUUUAAACUCAUAAUCAUUUUUUUACAAUUUUUUAUGAUUUUCCAAAUUCAGAAUAGGGGAACUCAAAUCUACUCCGACCUUGUUUCACGAAAAUUAAUAUAUCUCAAACUAUAAAAUCCCGUUUCUUUCACCGUUUCUUCCAUAUGAAAUUAGUCUCAAUAAGCUUUAAUUCCAUAUUUAAUUCAAUCUCUAAAUAAAUUUCUAUAAUUUUAGGUGAAUUUUAAAAGUUAAGUCACUACUGCUGUCCAAACUGUUUUAAUGAAAAUAUUUCUUUUCCAAGGUUCUUUGCACUAUCUUUCAUUCAAUCACACAUAAUUGCCAUACUUUUGAUUACUAUACAAUUUAGUCACUUAUUUUUAUAUUUAGAUUACAUAUUCAUUUCUUAAUAUUAGUACUUUUCACCAAACAAAUCACAUUCUCUCUUACCAAUUUAGUGUUUUAAGUCUAGUCUUCAUCAACUACUUUCUAUUUCUAGUAUUUUUAUUAAAUACAUGUUUCACACAUCUCACUCAAAACAUCUUUAACUCAAUCUAUUGAAAUACAAGUAGAUUUAGUAUGAAACUUACUUCCUUUGUCAAGAAUUUCUUCAUUUCCAUGCAUUUCUCAUCUUCACCACUUUCCUUCCUUUUUCUUCCCAUUUUCUCCACUUUCAUCUACUAUUUUCUUGCUUCUAAAUUGAUGAACAUAUUCUCUAGAACCUCUAAUUUGCUUCUAAAUUGAUGAAAAUAUUCUCUAGAACCUCUACUUCAUCUUCUCUCUUUAAUAUCUAAGGAAAAAUUAAAAAAUUUUGGAUAAAAAUGUAGGUUUUCAUGGCAAAGGACUAAAUUGUAAAGAAAAGAAAACUUCCUUUCUCACCCUUUCACUCACGUUGGAAGGAU